rnacentral:lncRNA from 1 species
GUUUACGUCGGCCGGAGGAGCAGGCCCGGAAGACCUGCCGCAUGGGCAGCCCCCUUGCUGCGCGGCACCCUGUGAGCCGGGGCCUGUGGGCCACAGCUGAUUGGACCAAGGUUCUUGACUCUCUUCCAGCAAGAUGGAUUGUCAGAAAUGUGAGAUCUGGAACAGUGCAGUUCUACUGUACUUUUUUCAUAUAUUCCUAUGGUGCUUUCAGAGAACAUAGUAGAAAUUUAAUAAAUCAUUGUUGAACUGAUAACUUCCCCUUCUACUCAAAAUUCACCUAGAAUAAAAGUCUGCCUCAUGCAAGUUUAUUUCUGAGC